GACGAACGCUGGCGGCGUGCUUAACACAUGCAAGUCGAACGGAAAGGCCCCCUUGUGGGGUACUCGAGUGGCGAACGGGUGAGUAACACGUGAGUAACCUACCCUUGACUUUGGGAUAACUUCAGGAAACUGGGGCUAAUACCGGAUAGGAGCUCCUGCUGCAUGGUGGGGGUUGGAAAGUUUCGGCGGUUGGGGAUGGACUCGCGGCUUAUCAGCUUGUUGGUGGGGUAGUGGCUCACCAAGGCUUUGACGGGUAGCCGGCCUGAGAGGGUGACCGGCCACAUUGGGACUGAGAUACGGCCCAGACUCCUACGGGAGGCAGCAGUGGGGAAUAUUGCACAAUGGGCGGAAGCCUGAUGCAGCAACGCCGCGUGCGGGAUGACGGCCUUCGGGUUGUAAACCGCUUUCGCCUGUGACGAAGCGUGAGUGACGGUAAUGAGUAAAGAAGCACCGGCUAACUACGUG
rnacentral:rRNA from 1 species